rnacentral:rRNA from 1 species
UGGGGAAUAUUGCACAAUGGGGGAAACCCUGAUGCAGCGACGCCGCGUGAGCGAAGAAGUAUUUCGGUAUGUAAAGCUCUAUCAGCAGGGAAGAAAAUGACGGUACCUGACUAAGAAGCCCCGGCCUAACUACGUGCC